GACGAACGCUGGCGGCGUGCUUAACACAUGCAAGUCGAACGAUGAAGCCGGAGCUUGCUCUGGUGAAUUAGUGGCGAACGGGUGAGUAACACGUGAGUAACCUGCCCUUGACUCUGGGAUAACUGCUAGAAAUGGUAGCUAAUACCGGAUACGACCCUCGGAGGCAUCUCCAGGGGGUGGAAAGAAUUUCGGUCAAGGAUGGACUCCCGGCCUAUCAGCUAGUUGGUGAGGUAACGGCUCACCAAGGCGACGACGGGUAGCCGGCCUGAGAGGGUGACCGGCCACACUGGGACUGAGAUACGGCCCAGACUCCUACGGGAGGCAGCAGUGGGGAAUAUUGCACAAUGGGCGCAAGCCUGAUGCAGCGACGCCGCGUGAGGGAUGACGGCCUUCGGGUUGUAAACCUCUUUCAGCACCGACGAAGCGCAAGUGACGGUAGGUGCAGAAGAAGGACCGGCCAACUACGUGCCAGCAGCCGCAGUAA
rnacentral:rRNA from 1 species